AAAAUACCCCCUCCGUCCGAAAAUACUUGUCAGAGAAAUGGGUAAAAAUUGAUGUGUCUAGAACUAAAAUACGACUAGAUACAUCCAUUUCUCUGACAAAUAUUUUCGGACGGAGGGAGUAUUCA
rnacentral:pre_miRNA from 1 species